rnacentral:tRNA from 1 species
GCCGAAAUAGCUCAAUUGGUAGAGCAAUUGUUUUGUAAACAAUAGGUUACCGGUUCAAGUCCGGUUUUCGGCUCAA